CGUUACCUAUAUAUUAAUUAAAGCCAGAUCAGAGUUCUUUAUCAAUAAUGGGACAUUUAAAAUAAAUAACACAGAGAGGAGUGAUUCUGCUAAAUAUUGUUUAGAAAUCCAUAAUUCAGAAGGAAGGUACUUGGAGACCAGAGGAGUACAACUGAUAAUUGGAGGAGGAUCUUAUGGGCCUGUCAUAGGGUCACUAGUAGCUGUGGUCCUGGUCCUUGCAGUGGUGGUGGGAGUUUACUGUAUUCGCAAGAGGAGGAACCCUCCACAGGCACCAGAUGCUGAUGAGAGUCCAGAACUGGAAUGUGAUGACAGAGGGAAACAGAGGGAGGCUCCAGAGGAGGUGGUGUAUGGACAGAUUGUAGUGCUGGAGGGUGCCAAACCAAACACUGAGAGAGACAGACCUGAGGGGCAGGAGGAGACUUUGUAUGCUGGAAUACAGCUUGGCCAAUGAGAGCUGCAUGUUCGAAGGGUUGGUCUUUUUGAAGUUGUAUGGAUGCCUUGUUCCUACAUUUGUUACUGAAACGAAUUGGAUUAACUUUCCCAUAUUACUGUUAUAUUUCAUGACAUUCAAUGCUGAGGGUUUUGUACAUUCUUUACCUAAAUAAAUAACCCAACAACUGGACUGUC